rnacentral:rRNA from 1 species
AACGAACGCUGGCGGCAUGCCUAACACAUGCAAGUCGAACGAAGUCUUCGGACUUAGUGGCGCACGGGUGCGUAACGCGUGGGAAUCUGCCCUUGGUGCGGAAUAACUUCUCGAAAGGGAUGCUAAUACCGCAUAAUGUCGUAAGACCAAAGAUUUAUCGCCCAAGGAUGAGCCCGCGUAAGAUUAGCUAGUUGGUGGGGUAAAAGCCUACCAAGGCGACGAUCUUUAGCUGGUCUGAGAGGAUGAUCAGCCACACUGGGACUGAGACACGGCCCAGACUCCUACGGGAGGCAGCAGUGGGAAUAUUGGACAAUGGGCGAAAGCCUGAUCCAGCAAUGCCGCGUGAGUGAUGAAGGCCCUAGGGUUGUAAAGCUCUUUUACCAGGGAUGAUAAUGACAGUACCUGGAGAAUAAGCUCCGGCUAACUCCGUGCCAGCAGCCGCGGUAAU